AGGAACAGCUAUCAGAGCAGGUUGUUAAUGCUCAUAAAACAUCAAGCAGUCUUUAGCAAUUCCAAAAAACUACAGCCAGCAGUCAAAAAGUUAUUUUAUUCCUCCUGGAAGUACAUUCUGUCUUUUCCUGCUGUCCUGGUCUCUCCUGUGCAUACUGGUGCAGGGGAACCAGAAGUGCAAUACUGCUGCUUCCAUCCCAAAGGCCACCUGGACAAUCAGGGAACCUGUGCCAUGGUGCUAACUUCACAGGAGACAUAGAGCAUGGACACAGAACUGCCAGGGAAGAUCCGACCAGCAGCACUCGUGGUGUAGCUGCAGCAAUGUGAGCUGUAUCUCUGCUACAAGGAUUGUGCAGAAAUCUGUGCAAUCUUCUACAUCCUUGGGAAGGUUCCAGCAUGUUCAGCACAGCAUGAGAAGGUUCUCAGCAGGAAUGCCAGGGAGACAAGAGGGUGAGAAGGCUCUGCAGACAGGUUGUAUGACACAUUAUUUAUCCCUUUGACUGCUGCUUCACUAUUCUGCAUACCCAGACCCACUUUGUUCCUAGAAUUCAUCCAUGGGACAAAUUAAGACUGCUCCUGUAACCAGCAAGUAAUUUGUUUAAAUAAGUGUUUUUCUUUUCUCCAUCCAACUUAUCCCACUUCACGGCAUGUCUAAUCUUCUCAGCUCUGAUUAGGCUUCUGCUUUCAAUUAAAAAAGCAAGUUUUCCUCCAGGAAAUAGGAAAAUUUUGUCAUGUGCUGAGUGCUCCAUGCCAUAGAACCGAUCUCCAGCCCAGCCUGCAGCAGCUCCUUAGGGAACUUUUGGCUUGGAAAAUUAGAGAUUCCCUAGAAGUGAUUAUUCGGCAGAAGCAGCAGGAUAAUAUCAGGGCUAUGAGUUCAUGAAGUCAGU